rnacentral:lncRNA from 1 species
GCACAACUCCUACGUACUGAUGGUGGUCUUACGUUUCCCUAAGUUUCUGCCGACUAAACUGUGCACACGUUCUCAGGACCUCCUGAAGCUGCGUCACAGGCGCUGAUCAAAGAACACAACCAAGAGUUUGGCCUUUUCUUCAGCACUGGGAAUUGUGAUCCAAAGCUUUUCCUGAUGAGGCACAAAGUUGGAGAAACAAAACGCAAACUAAGCAACAAUGAAACAGAACAGAGUGAAUCUGCUGUAGCUCAAGAGAGGACGUAGCUGCCCCCACCCCGCAUCCCUGGGCUCGGGUUUGCCUUGCUGACCUCUGCUGCCACCUGGUGCCGCACAGAGAAACUGAGGAGAAACCACAUCAGUCUCCUUCAGCCUCAGCUUCACAUCUGUGGGUCAAGCAACCCUUUCAGAAGCUGUAUAAUGUGGGAAAGCUUUCCUCUCAGGAAAAUGCACACAUCCAACUUUGAGAAGAUGCCCUUGGGGGUGCUUCAAGGAUCCUAGAUAAUAACCCCCUUUCCCGAACAUCCAAGAACCUAAGUUUUUUUUUUUUUUUUGAGAAAGUCUCGCUCUCUCUCCCAUUCUGGAGUGCAGUGGCGUGAUCUUGGCUCACUGCAAGCUCC